CCUACGGGAGGCAGCAGUGGGGAAUCUUGCGCAAUGGGCGAAAGCCUGACGCAGCAACGCCGCGUGCGGGAAGAAGGCUUUCGGGCUGUAAACCGCUUUCAGCAGGAAUGAAAAUGACGGUACCUGCAGAAGAAGGAGCGGCCAACUAUGUGCCAGCAGCCGCGGUGAUACAUAGGCUUCAAGCGUUGUCCGGAUUUAUUGGGCGUAAAGAGUUCGUAGGCGGUCAAGUAAGUCGGGUGUGAAAAUUCUGGGCUCAACCCAGAGACGCCACCCGAUACUGCUUAACUUGAGUUCGAUAGGGGAGUGGGGAAUUCCUAGUGUAGCGGUGAAAUGCGCAGAUAUUAGGAGGAACACCGGUGGCGAAGGCGCCACUCUGGAUCGAUACUGACGCUGAGGAACGAAAGCAUGGGUAGCAAACAGGAUUAGAUACCCUGGUAGUCCAUGCCGUAAACGGUGGGCACUAGGUGUGGGUUUCUAUUAACGAAAUCCGCGCCGUCGCUAACGCAUUAAGUGCCCCGCCUGGGGAGUACGGUCGCAAGCUAAAACUCAAAGGAAUUGACGG
rnacentral:rRNA from 1 species